AACGAACGCUGGCGGCGUGCUUAACACAUGCAAGUCGAACGUGAAAGGCUUCGGCCGAGUAAAGUGGCGCACGGGUGAGUAACGCGUGGGUAAUCUGCCCUUGGGCGGGGGAUAAUCUCUCGAAAGGGGGGCUAAUACCGCAUGAGACCACGGCUUCUCGGGGCUGUGGGAAAAGGUGGGUCGCAAGGCCUGCCACCUGAGGAUGAGCCCGCGUACCAUUAGGUUGUUGGUGGGGGUAAUGGCCUACCAAGCCGAAGAUGGUUAGCUGGUCUGAGAGGACGAUCAGCCACACUGGGACUGAGACACGGCCCAGACUCCUACGGGAGGCAGCAGUGGGGAAUAUUGCGCAAUGGGGGAAACCCUGACGCAGCAACGCCGCGUGUGUGAAGAAGGCCUUGGUCGUAAGACGCUGUUGGGAGGAACGGAGCCGCGUCGUGGGGAAGUAUCUGCGAGCCCGACGGUACCUCC
rnacentral:rRNA from 1 species